CCGCUGCGGCACGGAGCAUGUCUUCAAAGGACGAGGACUCUUCUCUGAUUCUGCUCCAGAACAACGACAACAACAACAACAACAACAGCCCAGGUCACCAGGUGGAGAGAAGGAAGUGGGAAAGAUCGUGUGAAACGAGAGGCUCAUCACCAGCUGCCUGCGACGUGUCAUUUAGGGCCUUUGUGGAAGAAUAAAUGUCAAAGCCUGAACCCCAGUCGCCGUCCCCGCUUUGGCAGAACGCCGGGGUUGCCAUCGAUACCCAGGCCAAGAUUAAGGGCAUCCAACAACACAUGGUAAGCUGGAAUGAGAAAAAAUAUCAUCUGUAGUAUUUAGUGCAAUACUUGAACAACUAUUUGACACCUAAUACGAAGAAAAUACAAACUCUUAACUCUCCUCAUACUUUCUUUCCUUUUCAUAUAUCAUCUACUGCUUUAUCCUCCACAUGAGUGGCUGCUGGUGCCAAUCCCAGCUGACAUAUAGGGUGAAAGGCGGGGUCACACCCUGGACAGAUCGCCAGUCCAUCACAGGGCCAACAUAAAGAGAUCAACAACCAUUCACUCAUCUAGAGUGUCUUAAUAACCUCUGUAUGGUUAUGGGCAUGUGGGAGGAAACCGGAGAACUCGGAGAUCUUGAGGUAACUCACGCACACACACAGAAAGGCCUGGACCAGGAUGCGAACCAGCAACCUUCUUGCUAUGAGGCAGCAGUGCGAGCCACUGUGAGAGAAAAUGCUAAUCUUCAGCCAGUUACUCACAUAUUCUUAGAACCAGACCUGGUCUUCAAUAUAAACAGCCAUUACUUACAAUAAGACACAAAAAGAUACCAAGGCACCAGGCAUCUGGACCAGAUACAACAUCUCAAGUCUUACUAAACUUUACGUAUCAGACCUGGCAUGCUGCUCACCAGAAUCUGCGAUGACGCCUCACUCAGAUGUCAGGCAUUGUCUCAGUCCUCCUCGGAUCUGAGCUCUCUACAAACUUAACUUAAUCACUGACUCCGGAGGUUCCAUCAUGGGUCAUCUCACCUGAUAAUCAAAAGAAUCAUUUGAAAUCCUGAAAUUGAUUUUUUUUUGGAUGGAUGGAUGUUGAAAAUUGACCUUGAAGGAAGCACCACUACAUCAUAGAAAAUACACUGACGUUGGUUUUAAAAUAUGUAUAUUAACAAAGUGGGGAGAUCAUAUCACAUAAAAUGAGACAGAUGGUUUUUCGCGGCACAAUAAAACCCUGUGCUGUUUAAAUGUCAUUGCAAGGGGUUUUUAAAUUUCACAGUCAACCUCACAUGCCUCUAAUUAUCGCAUGAAAAUCCUCAUGACAUCAUGUCUAAUUUUGCUUUUUAUGAGAGGCCUUUCCUGGAGAAAUGUGAUUUUUUUUCUCUUUGUUCUUCUCAUCGGUGCUUUUGGACCGUUUUAUAACACUGGUGAAGUAAAAAUGUUGUGUGUGAGAAUUGUUGAUGCUCUGUGGCUGAGCCAUGGCUUUGUGAAUGCAUGACUUGUGUCACGCUCGAGUUGUAAAAGCUGACAAAGCCCCUUGCCGCACGCAGUGCUGGUGUUUUUUUUGUUUUUUUUUUCUAAAAGUCGGGUUUUUCUAACAAUCUUUCACCUUGUAAAUCCUCACAACAGUAAAAAUCUCCAACGACGGGUGGGAUUUAAUCACAGAGUUUUUGUUUUUCUCUGUAUAAGCUGCAGUUGUCGGUGGUUUUCAUCGUAUGGCAGACUCACAUUCUCUCCUCAGCAUCUGGAAAUAUAUUUAAAAACCCCGAAUCAGGCCUGUCAGCACACGUAUGGUUUCCGCUGCAGUCGACUUUUACCGCAGCUUUUGAUAAUAUUUCAACUUCCCAUUGCUCUAUUGUAAGCUUGCGUUGCACCGUUAUCAUUCUGAGAAACACACAGAGUGAUUACCCCGUCGCUGCUCGUGACUGCAGCUAGAACGGACACCGUGAAAUUGUCUAUUUAUUUUAAGAUGAGUUGUGGUGUCGAGGCCCAAACUCAUAAAACACCCAACUGUUGGGCUGCUCGCUCUCUGUCGCUCCCUCUGGUUCUGAAAACCUCUGAAGCCUCACAUGUGUUACAACAGCUGUAAAAAGAGCAGUAAACACAGACUUAAAGAGCCGACACUCGACAGCUUUGGUCGUUUUCUCUUUAGUUCUAUUAUUUACUUGUAUUUUCCAAAGGAAACAACAUUUAGAAUAGCUAUCCAGUGUAGUGUGAUAAAAACGUCAUAAUUCUUGAAUUAAUUGUGAAGGUCAGUUGAAAGUCAGCAACCAUACACUCCCACCUUACUGAGAGAAUGUAAACAUCUUAUAAAAUACAUACUUUAUUGUGCCUGUUUUGAAUUGUCGUUGCUGCCGUAAAAGGAUAUUCAGUGAUGUUAGUUCAGUCUCUGAAAGGCCCGUUAACUCGAUGCACACAUGCUCCUCUGUGAGUCAAAGAUUGGCAGGAGCAGUCGCCUUUGUCUUUUGGAAGAAAAAAAAAACGUCUGCACAGUUUCCACACUGGCGUCUCACGGUUUGGUUGAACCACUAUUUGUGUUAGACUCUCCGUGGCCUGUGGCGACCCUCUUUUUGGCUUCAUUCUGACAUUGUGAAGUGGUUUUCAUUUGGCUUAAAAUAGCCGAAGAUCUGAUGCAGGAGGAGGGCAGCCACACGCUUCUUGUUAGUAAUGUUGAGUCGUACUGCGUCCUCCCCGUGUAGUUGUUCAGAAAAGUGAAUCAUGGCAUAGUUAAUUAUUAAGUAGCACGUCUAUUUGAUACAAUUUAAAUCAUCCUAUUUGUCCUAAAAUUGUAUUUAAUCAGUUUCCUCAGAAUCACAGUAACUCUGUUGAUUGUGAAAACAAUCAAGUUUUAAAUAUGGCUAAAGAUGUGAAACAACCAUAAUUCCUUGAGUUAAAACAUAUGAGAUCAGUUUUCAUUUUUAAGUUUAAAUUUCGAAGCAUCCUUUGAUGGUAAUGUGGCUACACUCAAAACUUAUUGAUAAUUUUACAUAAAUCUCAUUCUUGAAUGUUUUCUUUGUCUGUAAAAAAACAUACAUAUCACAUUAUGGUUAUAAGUCCAUGUUUAAACUGUGUAAUCCAAAUGGAUGGUAAUGUUACAUGAAACUGUAUUGUAUUAUACAUCUAAAAAUUAGACCUAAAUAUUUCUAAAAGUAGUUCAGUUGUUAUUGAAACCCACACUUGUUUUCAGUUAGAAGAAUAUAAGACCUGUGUAAGUUGCACAUGGGGAUAAAAAUGCAACUUUUACCUUUUAACUUUUUUGAUUCAUAUCCAACAAGGAACUCAUAAAUCUUGCAAAUAAUUCCUGGAUUAGUUCAUCAUUUACUCAAAAACUUAAUUUUAUAAUGCUCAAGGGGACGUCUAUCUUUUAUUUGUUUAAGUAUUUCCAAUUAACACAAAGGACUGCUUAUGCAGGAAGUUAAACCAUUUUUUUGUAUUUGAAUUAUAUAGAUAUUUGGCAUUUUGUUUAUAAACAUUUAUUAAAAUGCAAUUUAUUAGCUAAUAAAAUAGUCCGCUGUCAAUAAAUUAAAUGAUUAAUUAACAGAGUGACGUUCAGUAGUCUUACUGGUAGUCAGCUGAGAGCACGGCUGCAGCUCGGCCUCGUGGCCUCCACCUGUCAGACUUCAAACAGGUGUAUUUCAUAACACUCUUAGAUGCUUCACUGUCACUAUGACAACAAGAGGCUUUAGCAAUAAGCCAGUAUUACACACAUAUAUACUGUAUAUAUAUAUAUAUGUAUAUAAAAUACAGGUGAAUGCUUAUGAACAUCUUGACUAAAGUGUCAAAGAGAAUUGGAGAAUUUUCACUUAAAACAGCAAAGUAAAACAUCCCAUCAUUAACGUGCAAUUCAGAUUAGAGAUUUCUGUUUUUUACCAGUGAAGAACAAAUAUAUAAAAAAAAAAAAUUUACAUCUUACAGUAAUACUGUGCUAUAAGUAAAAGUUGAAUAAAUCCAGAAACCAAACUUACCUGACUCCAGUGAAUUUUCACAGAUAAAUUCUGCAAGUUUUCACCCUUUAAAGCGACUCAGAAAGGUCCACGACCACUUCUUAAAAGCUCAGGGAACAAA